CCUACGGGAGGCAGCAGUCGAGAAUCAUUCACAAUGGGGGAAACCCUGAUGGUGCGACGCCGCGUGGGGGAAUGAAGGUCUUCGGAUUGUAAACCCCUGUCAUGUGGGAGCAAAUUAAAAAGAUAGUACCACAAGAGGAAGAGACGGCUAACUCUGUGCCAGCAGCCGCGGUAAUACAGAGGUCUCAAGCGUUGUUCGGAAUCACUGGGCGUAAAGCGUGCGUAGGCUGUUUCGUAAGUCGGGUGUGAAAGGCGCGGGCUAAACCCGCGGACGGCAGAUGAUACUGGGAGACUAGAGUGAGGGAGGGGGAAGCGGAAUUCGCGGUGUAGCAGUGAAAUGCGUAGAUAUCGAGAGGAACACUCGUGGCGAAGGCGGGUUCCUGGACAUUAACUGACGCUGAGGCACGAAGGCCAGGGGAGCGAAAGGGAUUAGAUACCCGGGUAGUC
rnacentral:rRNA from 1 species